rnacentral:rRNA from 1 species
UACGGAGGGGACUAGCGUUGUUCGGAAUUACUGGGCGUAAAGCGCACGUAGGCGGAUUUGUUAGUCAGGGGUGAAAUCCCGAGGCUCAACCUCGGAACUGCCUUUGAUACUGCAAAUCUCGAGUCCGGAAGAGGUGAGUGGAAUUCCUAGUGUAGAGGUGAAAUUCGUAGAUAUUAGGAGGAACACCAGUGGCGAAGGCGAGUCUCUGGCACGCAUCUGACGCUGAAACACGAAAGCCAGGGGAGCGAACGGG